rnacentral:rRNA from 1 species
AUUGAACGCUGGCGGCAGGCUUAACACAUGCAAGUCGAGCGGGGAAAGGUAGCUUGCUCCCUGACCUAGCGGCGGACGGGUGAGUAAUGCUUAGGAAUCUGCCUAUUAGUGGGGGACAACAUCUCGAAAGGGAUGCUAAUACCGCAUACGUCCUACGGGAGAAAGCAGGGGACCUUCGGGCCCUGCGCUAAUAGAUGAGCCUAAGUCGGAUUAGCUAGUUGGUGGGGUAAAGGCCUACCAAGGCGACGAUCUGUAGCGGGUCUGAGAGGAUGAUCCGCCACACUGGGACUGAGACACGGCCCAGACUCCUACGGGAGGCAGCAGUGGGGAAUAUUGGACAAUGGGGGGAACCCUGAUCCAGCCAUGCCGCGUGGGUGAAGAAGGCCUUUUGGUUGUAAAGCACUUUAAGCGAGGAGGAGGCUACCGAGAUUAAUACUCUUGGAUAGUGGACGUUACUCGCAGAAUAAGCACCGGCUAACUCUGUG